ACGCCGGCACCGCCUAGAAGGCUCUCGGUCUGCUUGCUCCUUCUUACCACAACGACCACGCUGCUAGCGCCGACAGCGACGCCGCCGCUGCCUCAACGUGCGUCCAGCCCCCGCCGCCGUCGUUUCUUGGAGCUAUUUGUGUUGGCGCUAAGGUGUAUGGUCGCAAGAAUUGGAUCUUUCAACAAGCAAAACAUACAACAACAUAACAACCUUGAAGCUCAAGGCAGCCUUGGAAUUGAAGACCAAAAUCUACAGUCUUUUGAGUCACCACCGAAAAGAAUUUCGGGGGAGAGCAUCCCUGCCUUUUCAUUUCCUUCGUAGCACAUUUUCGCACUAAAACAUUGGAGACAGGUAUAGACAAGAUCCAAAUCUCGCACCGCCUUAAUUUUUUUUAUCAGUUUCAUAUUUUUUUUAUCCAGAACAAACUGGCUAUGUUUCUUUAGAAAAUAAGCCGGGUUUUAUUAUAUUUAGAAAAUACAAAACCGUAUUUAAAAAUCGACUAGGUCCUACCAGUCGCAAAAAAAAUCCAGUAUCAAUAAUUUAGUACUCAAAGAAUCUGGUUCUAAAGUUUGAUCAUAAAAAAAACCAUAAUAGUUGGGUGCAUGAAAAUGAUUCUUUUUAUGAGUAUCUUAACUUUUUCAUAUAUAGGAAAAAGUCUCUCUAUACAGAGUAACGCGGGGGUGUCGAAAAGUAGUGUUAGUCGAGAUCUGAUUCCUAAUUUCUCGUGCGAAAAUUUCUCUAUUAGCAUGCGAAGAUUAAACCAUCAAAUGUUGUGAUAUUCUGACAGAAGAGAUAAUAAAAUUAAUAAACUAUCCAAUUUAGCGAUAGGUGGGCGACCGAGAAUUUUUCUCGAGUGCGAAUGAGUGAAGAAAAAGUACGUAUAAAAGACUCGUAUUUGUCUGUGAGGAUGGUCUAUGAUAUUAGAGAUCUGACAGAAGUAAGUACCAUCAGUACGAGAGUAUAUGGGAUGUUAGAAAUAGUAUCAGAGUCGACUCUCACAUUUUCACGGACGUGUGUGGCCUAAAAGCGUAUGGCAUAGAGGUUCGGGCAUAUUUUCGGUUAGAUUUGCAUCGUUUCAUCCGUGCAUGCAUGGACGACGGAAGAUUAAGACCUCGGGUUGAUCCAUCAUCGCAAGUGUAAGUUCAAUAAUACCAUCUCUCGCCCGAUCUUCUCACGCAUCUCUCCAAAUCCUCUUUAAUGGAAUUUCUAUGACUUCUUUUUGCAAGAAAAACACGAGAGGCACAAUCCGGGAAGAACAAGCACACAGCACGCAGCGGGGUGUCGGCUGGACAGGACGGCAGAUGAAAUGAUGGCAGAGUGCGGACACGCACGCAGCAAUAGCAGCAUGACGAUGAGCGCACGCGUCGACGCCCAACUACCAGUUAGUACUAACUGCCGGCCACCAUCCAUGACCGCCCGCAGAUUAUCACAAAGCAACUCGUGAAAAGCUCAUAAAAAAGCGAUCGGCUUCGAUCUCCGACAAUGCCGGCAAAACCAGCUGCAUUUGUCGUCGUCUUCCACUGUAGAUCUUAAUCAGAGAGCGGGAAGCUUCCACUGCAUCAAGAGCGAGCCAGUUGGUCCUAGUUUUAGUCACCACCUACUGCUGAUGCUGGAUCGAUCUGCGCGAGGUCCUGCUGCUAUUGAACGGGUUCCUUAGAUCAAUCCGAUCUGGGAAGUGAGGAAUGUCAAACACUGUUUAACAAAUCAACAUACUAAAAAAUGUUUUAUAAACGCAUAUAUAUCCUUUUUUUUUGUACCUGUUGAGCUAGGGGGAUGAAAAAAAUGUUUAUAAACGCAUAGGUUGACACUUGACAGAGGAGGUCUCUCUAGUCUCUACCGCCAACCUACUACUGCUGGAGUGCUGGGUCCUUGUUUUGUCCCAUCUGACAGCAGCAAGGCAGUUGAGGCUAGAGGAGAUGGUGCACAGACUUUCUGUAGUCUCAAGUAUCUCACCAAACUAAAAGGUAGAAGAGAAAAAAACCAGCAUGCAUACAGUUACAGUUCCAGAUAUCCAAAUUCCAAGUGUCAUGUUUCUCACCAGGAAGUUAGAACUAACAGGUGGUCAAUCAGAGCUAGUAGCUGUUAGUUGAAACAGCACAAAAAAAAAAAAAAACAGUACAGUCUUCUGGCCAGCAUGCCAAGUCUCCAUU